rnacentral:tRNA from 1 species
GCCGAGAUAGCCAAGCCUGGACUACGGCGCUGGUCUUGAAAACCAGUUCUCGAAAGGGAGCGCGAGUUCGAAUCUCGCUCUCGGCACCA